UACGUAGGGGGCAAGCGUUAUCCGGAAUUACUGGGUGUAAAGGGUGAGUAGGCGGCAUGGUAAGCCAGAUGUGAAAGCCUUGGGCUUAACCCGAGGAUUGCAUUUGGAACUAUCAAGCUAGAGUACAGGAGAGGAAAGCGGAAUUCCUAGUGUAGCGGUGAAAUGCGUAGAUAUUAGGAAGAACACCAGUGGCGAAGGCGGCUUUCUGGACUGAAACUGACGCUGAGGCACGAAAGCGUGGGGAGCGAACGGG
rnacentral:rRNA from 1 species